rnacentral:rRNA from 1 species
AGCAGCCGCGGUAAUUCCAGCUCCAAUAGCGUAUAUUAAAGUUGUUGCAGUUAAAAAGCUCGUAGUUGAAUUUCGAGACCGGUUUAUUGGUCGUGCUUUUGUACGUACUGGUAUUAUUGGUUUCUCCUUUCUGACGAAUCUUAAUGCCAUUAAUUUGGUGUUUUGGGGAAUCAGGACUGUUACUUUGAAAAAUUGGAGUGUUUAAAGCAGGCUCACGCUUGAAUACAUUAGCAUGGAAUAACGAAAUAGGACGUUUGAUUUUAUUUUGUUGGUUUCUAGGAUCGACGUAAUGAUUAAUAGGGAUAGUUGGGGGCAUUAGUAUUCAAUUGUCAGAGGUGAAAUUCUUGGAUUUAUUGAAGACUAACUACUGCGAAAGCAUUUGCCAAGGAUGUUUUCAUUAAUCAAGAACGAAAGUUAGGGGAUCGAAGACGAUCAGAUACCGUCGUAGUCUUAACCAUAAACUAUGCCGACUA